rnacentral:rRNA from 1 species
AAGCGCUUGCAAUCAGACUUGCAUGCAGCUGAUCAUCCGAUGUUCUCACCGGUGCACUCAGUUGCAUACAGGCCAGCAUCAGUUUUGGUGGUUGGAUAAAGGCCUAGGGAAUGUAGCUUCUCUCGGGGAGUGUUAUAGCCUUAGGUGAAAUGCAGCCUACUGGGACUGAGGACCGCGCUUCUGCUAGGAUGCUGGCGUAAUGGUUGUAAGCGA